rnacentral:lncRNA from 1 species
GAAGAUUUAAUGUACCACAGAGAGCAAGGACAACUUGUCCCUAGCCCUGUUAGAGGGCAAACAGGAGAUGUUAAAGGAGAAGACCAGUUCAGAAGGAGCAGGAUUUGAGGUUCCAAUUAAAACCGUGUUUGGGCCAUUGCUUUGCCUGCCAGUGCUUAAUCUUCUCCGAAAGCCUCAUCACUUAUCUAAAACAAAAGAAGAACGAGAUAUAAUGCUGUUUGAAAUGCUAGAGGGUUCUCUUCCAUAUAGUGGAUGGUUCACUCUGAGGAUCUUAAACGUUCAUUUCUACUGGUUCUUAUAUCAGAGAUUCUCUAUUAAUAUUGCUGUAGUGAAAUAG